rnacentral:rRNA from 1 species
GCAGCACGGGAGCAAUCCUGGUGGCGAGUGGCGAACGGGUGAGUAAUAUAUCGGAACGUGCCCAGUCGUGGGGGAUAACGUAGCGAAAGCUACGCUAAUACCGCAUACGAUCUACGGAUGAAAGCGGGGGACUCGUAAGGGCCUCGCGCGAUUGGAGCGGCCGAUAUCAGAUUAGGUUGUUGGUGAGGUAAAAGCUCACCAAGCCUGCGAUCUGUAGCUGGUCUGAGAGGACGACCAGCCACACUGGAACUGAGACACGGUCCAGACUCCUACGGGAGGCAGCAGUGGGGAAUUUUGGACAAUGGACGCAAGUCUGAUCCAGCAAUGCCGCGUGCAGGACGAAGGCCUUCGGGUUGUAAACUGCUUUUGUACGGAACGAAACGGUCUGCUUUAAUACAGUGGGCUAAUGACGGUACCGUAAGAAUAAGCACCGGCUAACUACGUGCCAGCAGCCGCGGUAAUACGUAGGGUGCGAGCGUUAAUCGGAAUUACUGGGCGUAAAGCGUGCGCAGGCGGUUAUAUAAGACAGAUGUGAAAUCCCCGGGCUCAACCUGGGACCUGCAUUUGUGACUGUAUAGCUAGAGUACGGUAGAGGGGGAUGGAAUUCCGCGUGUAGCAGCGAAAUGCGUAGAUAUGCGGAGGAACACCGAUGGCGAAGGCAAUCCCCUGGACCUGUACUGACGCUCAUGCACGAAAGCGUGGGGAGCAAACAGGAUUAGAUACCCUGNUAGUCCACGCCCUAAACGAUGUCAACUGGUUGUUGGGUCUUCACUGACUCANUAACGAAGCUAACGCGUGAAGUUGACCGCCUGGGGANUACGGCCGCAAGGUUGAAACUCAAAGGAAUUGACGGGGACCCGCACAAGCGGUGGAUGAUGUGGUUUAAUUCGANGCANCGCGAAAAACCUUACCCANCUUUGAC